rnacentral:rRNA from 1 species
CUCCCAGACUCCUACGGGAGGCAGCAGUGGGGAAUAUUGCACAAUGGGGGAAACCCUGAUGCAGCGACGCCGCGUGAAGGAAGAAGUAUCUCGGUAUGUAAACUUCUAUCAGCAGGGAAGAAAACAGACGGUACCUGACUAAGAAGCCCCGGCUAACUACGUGCCAGCAGCCGCGGUAAUACGUAGGGGGCGAGCGUUAUCCGGAAUUACUGGGUGUAAAGGGAGCGUAGACGGCGAAGUAAGCCUGAAGUGGAAGCCCGCGGCCCAACCGCGGAACUGCUUUGGGAACUGUUUUGCUGGAGUAUGGGAGGGGUAAGCGGAAUUCCUGGUGUAGUGGUGAAAUGCGUAGAUAUCAGGAGGAACACCGGUGGCGAAGGCGGCUUACUGGACCAUGACUGACGUUGAGGCUCGAAAGCGUGGGGAGCGAACAGGAUUAGAUACCCGUGUA